rnacentral:rRNA from 1 species
UGGGCCCGCCGUCGCAUGCUCCCGGCCGCCAUGGCGGCCGCGGGAAUUCGAUUAGAGUUUGAUCAUGGCUCAGAUUGAACGCUGGCGGCAGGCCUAACACAUGCAAGUCGAGCGGUAGAGAGAAGCUUGCUUCUCUUGAGAGCGGCGGACGGGUGAGUAAUGCCUAGGAAUCUGCCUGGUAGUGGGGGAUAACGUUCGGAAACGGACGCUAAUACCGCAUACGUCCUACGGGAGAAAGCAGGGGACCUUCGGGCCUUGCGCUAUCAGAUGAGCCUAGGUCGGAUUAGCUAGUUGGUGGGGUAAUGGCUCACCAAGGCGACGAUCCGUAACUGGUCUGAGAGGAUGAUCAGUCACACUGGAACUGAGACACGGUCCAGACUCCUACGGGAGGCAGCAGUGGGGAAUAUUGGACAAUGGGCGAAAGCCUGAUCCAGCCAUGCCGCGUGUGUGAAGAAGGUCUUCGGAUUGUAAAGCACUUUAAGUUGGGAGGAAGGGCAGUAAAUUAAUACUUUGCUGUUUUGACGUUACCGACAGAAUAAGCACCGGCUAACUCUGUGCCAGCAGCCGCGGUAAUACGAAUCACUAGUGAAUUCGCGGCCGCCUGCAGGUCGACCAUAUGGGAGAGCUCCCCA